UGUUCAAACAUGUGAGCCUGUAGGAUAUACAUCACAGUUGGGCAGAAGGGCAGGAGAGCUCUAGAAUGAUCCUGAAUCUAGUCGGGUCCUAGAAGUUAUCCGAGCCCUGUGGUUUAUCUAGAAGGUCAAGACACAGAAGAGUUGGUCGCUGCUCCAGACCACAUAUGAGCCAAUUUCCCUGAACUGACAAAGGUGGAUCCUGCCCCCAUGAAAGUGUGUGGAGCAGCCAUGUGUCCUCAGACUACAGGGAGUAUAUCUCCCAGUCUGGUUUCUUUGGAGUCCUCCGUCCAGUCCUUGGUAAGCUUCACUUGGUGGCUUGGCCUCUCCCCGGAUAGAUUCAUUGUUUUGGCUUAAGCACUGCAGUGUGGAAGGAAGUGUGGUGUCACCUGCUGCUGUGACACUGAGCUUCAGAGAAGCAGCCACCAAGCCCUAAAGUUCCCAUGGAGGUGCCUUGCAUUUCCAGUAUUCUGUUUCCCCACAGUUUUGACACCAGUCACCUUUCUGGAUGGUCUUUAACAUGUGUUGGGCAUUUGCAAAGGAGUUUUAAGCUCUAGCGUACUGUCUUAGUAAUUACCUUCCUUCCUUCCUUCCUUCCUUCCUCCCCUCCCCCUCCUCUCCUCCUCCUCCUUCCCUCCUCCUCCUCCCCCUCCCCCCUCCUCCUUUUCCACACAGGAUUUCUCUGUGUAAUUCUUGCCAUCCUGGAACUCCAUCUGUAGACCAUGCUGAAUUUGAACUCACAGAUCCUCCUGUCUCUGACUCCCAGGUGUUAGGACUAAGGGUGAGCCCGACCACUGCCUGGCUAAAGGUGUUUGUUUGUUCUUCAGUUAUGCUUCCUAAACGGGAACUGCAAAGCCGAACUACUGCUCUCAUUGGCUACACGAGUCUAAAUAUUGCGAACGUGUUUAAAUACUGAGCAUGUCUGCUAUUGACUCUGAUGGAGCUUAUGGUGCCAAUGUGUAGCCCAUGACAGGGGCCUCAACUUGGGAGUUUCUCGAUGGUUGUUGUGAACAUCUAAGAUCUACUUGAACAAGUGUGACAUGUCCACCAGGGUGAUCAGGGUGUGUAUGAGUGUAUGUGUGAGUGUAUGUAUGUAUGCAUACAGGUAUGUACAUGUAUGUAUAUGUACAUGUGUAUGUAUGUGUGUAUAUGUAUGUAUUGUGUAUGUUUGCAUGUGUGUAUAUGUAUAUGUGUAUGUGUGCAUGUAUGUAUAUGUAUGUAUGUGUGUAUGUGUGCAUGUGUGUACAUAAGUGUGUAUGCAUAUGUGUUUGUGUGUAUGUAUAUAUGUGUGUGCAUGUGUGUGUUUGUGUGUACACACGUGUGUUUGUGUUUAGGCCCAUGAUAUCAGGAGGCUUCCACAAUCAGUCUCCACCCUAUUCACCAAGGCAAGGUCUCUUAGCUGAACCUAGAGCUCCCAACAAGGGCUAGUGUAAUUAGCCUAGGUGGUUCUGGAGCCCUGUGUCUCUGCCUUCUGAACAUGGAGAUUACAGGCUGGCUCCCACACUCCUUCUGCAUUGAAGUAGGUUCUAGGGCUGUGAAUUCCUGAUCCUCUGUAAGCUCUUGAUUCAUUCACCUGCUCUUAAGACAAUCAGAAUGUCUUUUCAUCUGAUUCCAAAGAGCAUUUGAAUGGAAGUUAAACCUCUCUCUCUCUCUCUCUCUCUCUCUCUCUUUCUCUCUCUCUCUCUCUCUCUCUCGUGUGUGUGUGUGUGUGUGUAUUUUUAAUCUCUUGGGUUCACACAACUCUGAUGAGUACUAUAAUAGGAUCUGAAGUCAUCUUGUCUCUUGGCUUUGCCUAUGUAUCUCACUGAUAUGACCAAUAAAUAAUUAAUUGGCCUCAACUUCCAUUCUUUUGACACGACCCAUUUAAAACUGCGGCCCUAUCAGGCAUAUCAGGCCCCACACUUGGUACUUGGCACCCGGUAAAUACCCAACGGUGCCUCCUAUUAUUUCAAAUUUAUACCAGGUCCCCAUCCAUGAACUGAGGGCUUAGACCAGGUCUUUCAGGUCUUUAACAAAUACUAAAGGUUACACAAGUAGAGAAGAGAUGGGUCUGUGUGGUGGUGCACGAAUGCCCAGAGGAAGAGAACGGGAGGAAGGGAGGAAGUAGGCAACAGGGCCCCUAUAAUCAUACAGAGAUAUUUAUAUUUAGUAAAAUAUUUCCAGCUUCAGCUUACACACACACACACACACACACACACACACACACACACACACACACACAGCAGAGGAUCUAGUUGAAUACAUCAAUGUGUCGCCACAGGGAGAUGUGAUUCACAGAGAGAUUUUCUUCAUAAAGAGAUGGUGCCUCGCCUAUUCAAGAUGCCACAGAGCAUUGAGCGGGACUCCUUUUCAAGGGGCUACUAUUAGAAGCAAGAUGAUUAUCGUUCGCUUUUAGACGGUGUGCUGACUGGAGCCACAACACUGGGGCACUUAGGUGCUCCCAUUAUCCAAGUACAGUGUGAUCUUUGAAAGUUUAAAAAUAGCACACACGACCCUCCUGGCCUCCCUUUCGGGGGCUGUGGCUGUGUUCUGGGGAAAUGCCCAGCCUCCUGCAGGGAAAGUUGUGUAUAACCCGGUUACAAUGUUGACCUAAGCGGGGCAGGCCGCUCGACCACCUUUGGCUUUCGGGUUGUGCUGACCACAUCCCUGGAGUUGCAGGUAAGCUGGAGUUGAAAGGAAAGUAAUGCCUAGGUGCCUGGUUCUUGUUCAGCGUGAUAUUUAAAUAGCCUGUUCUUUGUCACGUGCUAGAAAAGGUUUCUAGUAUAGCAACCCCUUAGCCUUCAGUGGGAUGGUUUUGAGAGGUGGUGGGUGUUUGCUAUUCAGUAAAAAUUGUAGAAGUUCAUUGUGUUGCCUAAGCCACUGUUCUAGAACCCAACAGACCAGUCUGAAACUCAAAAUGGAGUCACUGGGGAAGAGUGAGGACAUUGAAGCUGAAACUAAGUGGCUUCUGAACAAUCAGGAAUAGAUAACAGCUAAGUAUCUAAACAGACCAAUUUCAGCUUGCGUGAUACAGAAGCUCUGCACGAAAAGCUAGCCGGAAAUGACUAGACUAGAUGACAACCAAUCAGAUUCUUUCCCCUGCCCUACCACUGAGCCACACUGUCGGCCAUGGAAACUCGGGGUCAUUCUGUAAAGCCUUGACUGUUCUGGAACUAACUCUGUAGACUAGUCUGGUCUUGAACUCACAGAGAUCUGCCUGCCUCUGCCUCCUGAGUGCUGGGAUUAAAGGCAUGUGCAGCCACCGCCCAGAUGGAAAGUACUAUUUUAUUUUAUUAUUUUGAGACUUGAUCUAAUGAACUCCAGGCUGGCCUCAAAUUUGGUAUGCAGGCUAGUCUGGCCUUGAACUCCUCCAGCUCCUCUUGCUUCUACCUCCCACUGUCUGGUUUGCAGCACCAUACCUGGCUGCCGCUCGUUGGGUUUUGCUUCUGUAUUCUUUCUUUGUCUAGAAACCGAGGUCCUCUCCCGGGUUUGUCGUAAGACAUUCUAUGUUAUGGAAUGAAGUAUUGCUCAAGUCUAGAGACACGCACACAGAGCCAAUUAAAGUCUUUGAACUCAAUGGUUGCAAUUUUGUCCUUAGACACAAAGUACUUGGGAAUGUUUGAACAGUUGCUAGGGUGGUGGCACUCUGGCUAGACAUGCUACAGGUACAGAAUGAAGGGACCUUUCAUGGGUGAUAUUGUCUAAAAGCAGAAGAACUGAGUUCCAGAUAAGCCAGGUGACUGUGGAGGUCUGUGUAGCAAGGGCUCGUUCCCAAAUGGGCCACCAGUUUAAUUGUCCUGAGCUACCAGUGCCGCUGUGGGGAGUACACAGGGUCUUUGACUGUCACCACCCUUAAGUGCUUGGUGACUUCCGGUGGUGACACCUGAAACGGAAACUGGGGAGACCAUUUCUCUCCUAAUAGAAGGUUGAAGCUCUAUCAGACAGUAAGGACUUGCAUACUUUCUUAAUUAAAUUUUUAAAAUUUCUUUUUGACACUUGGCCUCACGCGUACCAAGUCGGCCUCAGACUUGCUGUGUAGCCAAGGAAGACCUUGAACUGCUGAUCGUUUUAACUCUACCUCCCAAGUGCUAGGACUGCUGGCACGAGUGGCUAUACCUGAUUUUACACUGGGGACGGGCCCAGGCUGUCAUGCUAAAUAAACGCUUUACUGACUAACUUCAUCCCCAGCACCAAUCUCAUCCCUUAAAAAAAAAAAAGUCAUAUUCCAUGUGCCUGCCUGCUGUGUUUUGUUGAUCCUCUUGUCUGCCGAUGGACACCUACACUGUGUCUGCCUCAUGGCCUUUGUGCAAAAGGCUGCCAGGAAGGUCGGCGCACAGAUGUCUCUUUUCACCUCUGCUUUCAGUUCCUUCCAGCAGACUUACGGGAUCCCAGGAGCCGCAUCGAUAAAGCGUAUGAUUCAUUAUACGUCUGAUGUUUUAGGUAGGCGUGACUUGGUUUCCCACAGUGUUUGUACCUUUAGAAUGCUCACCACCAAUGUGUAAAGGCUCCAGUUUCUCUCUCUCCUUACCAACACUGAUUUCCUACGUGUGUGCAUACACUCGUGUGCAUUCAUAGUGGAUGUGUCCUGAUGGGUGUGAGGAAAGAUCUCACUGAGGAUCAGUUCGUCUUCCCCUAAUUUGCGAUGCUAACUGUCUUUCUGUGGGUUAUCAGCCAAAAGACUUUCAUGGAAUAGGAACGGUUAAGCGUACGAGAACUCACCCUUUAAGAAGUUUAAAUAGUUGUUUCAAUGUCCUCUUAGGUUCUUGCUAUUUCUCUGGUGUGGGGCCAUAUUUCGCUGUGUUUAUUUUGUCUAGUCAAAAAAAUUUUUUUUUCAAAAGCUUUUGGCUAAACCGUGGUAAAGUGGAAUCCUUUACUGAAACAGAGAGUUCAAGACCAGGGGCUCUAGAAAGCUAAUGAUUUCCCCACCCUCCCCCAGUCUGUCCUUAUUCUUGGGGAGUUUGGGGUUGGGACUUAUGGGUAUAGGAGAACGACCUCGGAUAAAUAAAACCUCUAGAGAACGGCCCGUGGUCUUGAAGGACAGCCAUCUGGCAUGCUGAGCUCUGCUUCUCGGGAUCAUAGCGAUCUCGGGUCGUGCCUUAGCUUUUUGUAACAUCUCAAAUGUGACAGUCUACUAUUAACUGCCACUGAGGGGAAUUAAGGGAACGGUUUGUGCCCAGUGUGGGGUGAAACUCAGGGUACAGCAGCUGCCUGCAGAGUCAGGUUUCAGGGCACGACCAGGGUUGGGCAGUGGCAUGGGGCCAGGUGGCAGUUGAGACGGCAAGUGAUCAGCCGGACAGAUUGGUACAGCAUGUGGGCAUUCCCUGGGGAAUCCCGAGGCGCUCUGUGGGAGGGACCUGGUCAGGUCUAACUUCCUUGCUGUCAAGCACAAUAAGGCUUGUUGGGCUGAUUUGGGUAUUGCAAGAAAUAGUCCCAGGCCGAUGAGGUCAUUCUUCUUCUCCCCUCCCUCCCACCUGCCAGUUCAAGGUGGCCCCCAGUGGUGCUCACUUCAUAUGUGGAUGGCUCUUCCCAAGGGAUGCUGUUGAGCUUGUUUUGUGAGACGGGCUUGUGCUUGCAGAUUUGGCUAGGUUGACUGGCCAGGAAGCCUGUGUCUACGUCCCUAGUACUGAGGUUAUAAAUGCAUGCUGUCGUUCCUGGUUAUUUGACAUGGAUUCCAAGCAUCCGACUCAGGUCCUCAGUCAUGAGCUCUGUGCUGACUAGGCUGUCUCCCCAGCUUGGUUCUGGUAUAUUCUUUGAGGACCUAUAGAGGAGCAGAGGCUAUGGAAAUGGGAUUUUGGGUACAAGCACUUGCACAAGGCACGAAAACCCGAGUUUAACACCAGAAUACAAGGUAGAAGGAAAGAACCAACUCCUGAAAAGUGUCCUCUGUCCUCUGCACUGGUGUCCGUCUGUCUCCACCUCUCUGGUUCUCACACACGCUAAUAAUAAAUCAAAUGGAGAGAAACGGAGAUUACAGAGAGCUCUAGACAAAAAAGUGAAAAGCGUCUCUAAACGGGUUUCCGUUAAGAGUUUUGAAUAGGAAAUGUCGCCUUGAUAAAGGUUGGCUGCGUUUGAACGUCUGCAUUUUGGCACGAGUCCUGGUCCUUUGACCUACAAACAGAGGGGUUACAUCAGAUUAGCAGUUUUUCCCCCUCUAAGCUCUGAGGUGCUGAGACCCUCCCCAGGGACCAUGAAAGAGGAAGCUGACUCUGGUCAGAGGAACUCCCCUUCUUUCAAGCUGUCAUGGGAUGCCACAGCUGAUAAAGGCUGGGGGACCCAAAGACGGCAAGGCUCUGCCAGGCGACUUCUCUGCUUUUGUGAGUAUUACAGUGAUGGUGGCAGUGAUGUUAGUACUUUACACUUACUAUGACUCUGUGACUACAAGAGUCCGGCUUGCCUGGAACUAAUGAUUCCCCUGCCUUAGCUUCUAAGUACUGAGAUUGCAGAUCUAUACUCUCACAUCUGGAUAGAAUGACACUAUAUAUACAUAUAAAUCUUUAAACUCUAGAUUAUACAAAUAGGAGAAACAUGCAGUAUUUGUGUCUCUAAAUCUAGCUUAUUUCGCUUAACAUAAUAGUUUCUAGUUCUUCCUAUUUUCCUGUAUGUGUCAUAAUUUCAUUUCUCCUUGUAUACCAGUCGUGGUGGCUUAUGUUUUUAAUUCCAGCAUGCAAAUAAUUUCUGCUUAUGGUUGCACAAAAUUCAAGGAAACACAUUGUUUUUACUUAAAAAAUGAUUUUAUUAAUUUAUUUUAUGUACACAGGAGUUCUGUCCACAUGCAUGUCUGCACACCAGAAGAAGGUAUUGGAUCCCGUAGACUGUAGUUACAGAUGCUUGUGAGCCACCAUGUGGGUGUUUAGAAUUGAACCCAGGACUUUGGACGAGCAGCCAUGGCUUUUAACCACUGAGCCAUCCCUCCAGACCCUGAACCACAUUUUCUUUAUCCCUUCUCUGCUCAUGGGCACCUAGGCCGGUUGGUUCUAAUACCUCGCUACUGUGGACAGAACAGCUAUGAACAUAGAUGUGCAAAUAUGCUGACUUAACAUCUUUUGGAUGUAUGCCUGAAAGUCCAGACAUACGAUGGUGUUGUUUUUAGUUUUCCCCAAACCCUCCAUGCCAAUCUCCACGGCGACUGUUUUUGUGAAAUUGCCAGUGUUACUGAGUUCUCUUUCUCCACAACACCUUCUUGGUAACAGUCAUAGAAAUGUCGUGUCCCGGGGUUGGGGAUUUAGCUCAGUGGUAGAGCGCUUGCCUAGGAAGCGCAAGGCCCUGGGUUCGGUCCCCAGCUCCGAAAAAAAGAACCAAAAAAAAAAAAAAAUGUCAUGUCCCGAGCCCAGUCGUGUGAUCUGUAGCAUACUAUGUGCUAUAUAGGCAGUGACAUAUAAUGUAAUAAUUUAAACAUGGCUGUGUAUUUGUAAGUUUUGGGGAAUCAGCCUCCUGUUGCGUUUAUUGGAGAGUUUAUUGUUGGAAGAAAAACUUGUUAGGGUUGAAUCUGAAAUGUCCUUCACAGGCUCAAGUCUUGAAUGUCUAUUCCUCAAUUGGACAUUUUUUAGGACUUUAGACAUCCCAAAGAUCCAAGGAGCAAGUGGAUUCUCAUAUAAAAUAAAAAGGGGACACAGGAAAGCAGCAUCUUUCUGUCAGUGUCCUUUGGCUUCAGUGUUUUAGUCACCUCUGUGUCACUGUGACUAAAAUACCCCCCCCAAAAAUUUUUAGGAAAGAAAGAGUCACUGGAUCUUAUGAUUUUCGGGGGUUUUGGUUCAUCACAGGAGGGAACAUAUGGCAACCGUAAAGUGUGGGGGAAGGGGCUUACAGUACAGUGACCAGGAAGCAGGGAGGGAGGCAGGAGCCAGGGACCAGGUAUAGCUUUCAAACAUCUGUCUCUACCUCCACCAGUGAGGAACCACCUUGGAAGGCUCCAGAACCCCCUUUCGAUUUUCCUUGCAUAUGAUUUGAUCAGAUUGCACUUCUUCUUGAUUAGAAGUUACACACGUUAAUAGAUUUCAGAAGUCAAAGACAAGCCAAUGCCAGUAGAGCCAAGAAGCCUUCAUCGGAGUGUAUGGCCUCUUCGUUUUCAACUGGUAGGCUAGCUAUCUUGAUGUAUGGAGCAGGUUUGAGAGAUGGAGCUAAGGAGAGACAGUAAGAUGGUGAGGUGCUGGUGGGAGCCUGAGGUGGGGGUAAGAGCUCCUGAGCCUCAGGUCCAUUCUCGGCUAAACCGUAACAACAGAAACCUGGUAAAGCCCAAGCGAUGAGACAUGGCUUAGAGGACAAACCCCCAGAGGAGGUUUCCCUAGUGAGGAGGGGCGAAGCCUGGAAAACAGCUGACGUUUGCCUAUUCAGAGGAGGGGCUUUCCACAAAAGGCACGCCAAGGAGGAGGAAAGGGGAAACGAGAAGGGGAAGUAACAUGAAACGACUAAAUCAAGGGACCAACCUAAGUAAUUGUUCACAGAGCAGGAGCCUGAAAGGAAGUUGAGUAAAACAGUAUUACUUUGAAAAAAUUGAUGGCCUUGAAUUUCUAUUCCUCCUGCUUCUUCCUCUUGGGUUUACGUCUACUACCACGCCUGGUUCAUACAGUGCUGGGGUCUCAGGUGCACCAGAUAAACGCUCUCCAGCUGAGCUAAUGCAUCCCAGCCCUCAACCUUCUCUUUCAGUGAGGACACUCAGAUUUCUUGAUUUUUUUUUUACUUUAAGUACAUUCUUAAAGACCCUGUUCCCAAAUCCAGUCACUUUCUGAGUUUCUAGGAGUUACGGCUUCAACAUUCGAAUGGGGACAGGACAGAAAUCCAUUUAAUUCACCUCUUCUCAUGACUGGAUAAUGAAUGUGAUUCCCGGUUUUUGUAGAAUUUCCAUAUAUUAAAUAUGGGGCUCUCUCUGCCUUUGCACAGACUUGUCCAUGUAUGACAUCGAUUCCCAUGUGUCUUGCCACUUCAGCACCAAGGUUGCACCAGCAUGGCCUGGUGAGGAAUGCCCAUUCUGGCUUCCCACGCCAGGUCUACUAGACUCGGUAUGCUAGACUCUAGGUGAGCCUCAGGCCCGCCUCAUCGGAGAACCUGGUUUUAGCAUUUGGGUUCAGGGCGGCUGAGGUACAGAGUGCAAGUGGGUACAGGAUGACUAAGGUACAGAGUUGGUUUCAGUUGUAAAUUCUGGUCAUGCUGUUCCAGAGUCCUUUUCUAAAGGAUGGCUCUCUCGAGGCAUGGGGCUAUGAUGGAUGACUGGGGUCUGUCAUACAGCAGCCAUUAAAUCAGGACCCAUCUGUCUUGUAUCGUUCGACAUUCAAAUAUCACCUACUCAUCGGAGGGUUUAGAAGGAGGAAAGGCUCAAUGAGGAGACUUCUCGUUUGGGGAAUGAAAUCCCUUGCUAACCUGGGCUUCAAUAUUAUUGUCUUGAAAAAUUCGCAAUCUGCAUUUCUUUUCUAGCUUGGACAGUCUAGGCAUCUGUAUGAACAGCUGAAUGCUACUCUUACCUCGGCAGUGGUAAGGAUUGUGACAUUGUGGAAUUCGUUAAACAGUCAGACCAAACAUCCAGAGUGGGGGCAGUUCCAGAGUCCUUCAACUCGGUUCCCUUCAAGUUGGAUGUCACUCAGAGGUGACCACGAGAUCUGGACACGGUUGUCUUCAUCCAUUGUGGAGUUACUGUAACAAAAUACCUGUUGCCUGGUAACAUAUUAAGAAAAAGUUUUCUUUAGGUCAUGGCUUUGGAGGUUCAAUGGUGUGGUAUUGACAUUUAAUUGUUACGAUGAGUGUUCCAUAGUAGGUAGCUUCCCGGUGGCAAGAAUGUAUGCAAGAAGGGUGAGCAGCAUGGAGGAUUAGGAAAAGUUCCAAGCUUCCUUAUAACCCCCAUUCACCAUCACAACAACUAAUCCAUUUCCCUAUGUCCUAACCCAUUCUCUCAAAACUGCAUGAAUCCAUUAAUGAUCAAAAACAACUUAACUGUCUCCUCAUACGCUUGAGUCUUAAAGGUCCUGAUACUGCCAUGUAGGCAACAGGGUUUUUACCUGAGACCUUGGGAGACAAACUGUAUCUCAAACACAGGACCUGUCAUCACCGAUGAUGUAUCUUUUGGAUAUGUCUUAGAGUAUACACUGGGUGCUUGAUAAGUGUAAGAGGACAUAGUUGAGAAUCAGCCUGUGGCCCCUAACACCUCAAACUUCCCCAGAUGCAGGGCAUAGCUUCCCUUUCUAACAACCUCAGCAGAACCAUGGGCCCCAGUGUGGCUUCCUCAUCAGGAAUCCCGGUUCCCAUGUUUCUUUCUUGUUCGUCAUCUUUAAUUUUUUUUAAAUGUACUUUAUUUAUGUCUAUGUGUGUGUACCUGCUUGUCUAUAUGUAUAACAAAUGCAUGCAUGUAGUGUCUUGAAGAGACCAGAAGCAGUUAUGGAAUCCCUUGGUGCUGGAGUUAACUAGAAGUGGUCAUGAGCUGCCUGACGUGACUGCUGGGACCCAACAUGGGUCCUCUCCAAGAACAGUAAGUUCUCUUACUUGCUGUGCGGUCUCUCCAGCCUGCCCCCUACUCUCCCUUAGCUUUUUAAAAAGCUCCUCCUCAGAACUACAGUAACAGGCACGGGUGGUGGUGGUGGUGGUGGUGGUGGUGGUGGUUGUGGUGGAGGAUUACUGGCCCAUGAUUCUGUGAAGCUUAGGUGAAUUAGACAUUGGCUCACCAUCACAAGAAAUGGCUAUCGAAGGAGUUAGCAAGAAAACACACUGGCUUGGUGCUGCGGCCUACACCUCUGGCUGAAUCUUUUCUUUAUUCGUGGACUGAGAAGAAGGAAACCCCCCAUCCUCCAACAGACCUUCUGAAAAAUGAGUGCGUCUCCGUGUUCCUGCUCUGAGUGACCACAGGGCUCUGAGUGGCUUCUCUUCUCCCAUCCGGUGAAAUUGAUUUUUAAACACACUGAAUUGAUUAAAGCGUUGGGCCAGGAUGGGGCAGAGGAGCGGGCAGAAAUAAGAGCUGUUUGGUUCUUAUAUUAACUUCCUUCUUGUCGAGGCAUCCUGUGCCUGGGGAAGUGAAGCCUGCUGGGUACACUUAUCCAGGUGAACUGUGGCUUGGCCUCUGUGGAAGGAAACAGUCGAUGAAGGGCCACUGAGGUACAGCUGCGUCCCUGUUCACAGGGCAGCAACGAAUCAGGAAUGGGUCACGUCCUGCCCAUGCACGGGCGCCAACGAUGCUAGACAGAGCAUAGCUACUGUAACAUCUGCGGAUGCCUCUUUAGGCUGCGUGAAUGUGUUUGUCAGUAAUGACUUUGGUAUGUGGGGGUUGAUUGAAUAUGGGCAUUAAUUUGAUUUCCUGAGGCUUCAGGACCAAGACUUCAGGUGUAACUUUCUGUAGACAAUGUAUCCAUCUGCUUAUAUCUCUGAAGAGGUUUUAGAAAGAUGGUUGUCUAAUUAACCCUCCCCCCCAAUAACUUCAAAAAUAAAAUAGCCACCCUUGGGCCGUUCGA